CGGAGAGCCGACCAGUUAGACAACAACAAACAUUAUCAGUCAGUCUGGAGAUCAGAUGUUAAAGAAAUGAAACUAGAAAUGUGAUCCUGUUAGUUUUAUGGUUUUUGUCUUUAAAGGGAGAAAUAUAGAAAUCUCUUCCUCUGAGGAACUUUGUCUUCCAUCAAUUCAAUGAUUUUUGUAUGUUUUGUUGCCGUACAUGAGUUCAGACAUGGAAUCUGAUCAGAGACCAAAUCAGGAUUUAAGUUUUAAGUUCAUCUUUUCUCUGGACGCAUCGUUUCCGUUUGGACAGUUUCUCCCUCUGGUUCUGGAUGCUGGCCAGCUGGGAUGAUUUCCAGUUGCUAUAUGGUGUAACCGUGGCAACAAGAUAUUGUUUUUCCAACAGAGCAGGUGAUUAGCAUCUCAGAAGCUCAAAUAACAUCUGAACUUUGACCCCAAAUCCCAGAGCUUCAUGGAUGCAGAGAAGAGACGGAAAGAGUUCAAAGGUCAACGUCUCUCCAACCAAACAGCCUGACAGAUUUAAAGAGGAGCAGCAAAAGCAAAAGAGGUGGAUUAGCACAGCUAUCUAGCAACUGAUGAUGUCAUCCAGGACUUGUUACUGUGGAAUAUCAGAUAUUGAGCUGUUAGCAACAGUCUUCAGUCAGAGGCCUCUUCAGACAAACUGCGAGACUGACUGCUACUGGACUCGACUGUUUGAAGGUGUUUGGAGGAUCUGAGUCACAAAAACAUUUAAUUGAUUCACCUGCAGGAUAAAUAAAGGAGUUUUGAACUGA